rnacentral:rRNA from 1 species
CAGUAGCCGCGGGAAAACAGAGGGUGCGAGCGUUAAUCGGAUUUACUGGGCGUAAAGCGUGCGUAGGCGGCUUCUUAAGUCGGAUGUGAAAUCCCUGAGCUUAACUUAGGAAUUGCAUUCGAUACUGGUUAGCUAGAGUGUGGGAGAGGAUGGUAGAAUUCCAGGUGUAGCGGUGAAAUGCGUAGAGAUCUGGAGGAAUACCGAUGGCGAAGGCAGCCAUCUGGCCUAACACUGACGCUGAGGUACGAAAGCAUGGGGAGCAAACAGGAUUAGAUACCCCCGUAGUCCCUGUCUCUUAUAC